rnacentral:rRNA from 1 species
UAGGGAAUCUUCCGCAAUGGGCGAAAGCCUGACGGAGCAACGCCGCGUGAGUGAUGAAGGUCUUCGGAUCGUAAAACUCUGUUAUUAGGGAAGAACAAAUGUGUAAGUAACUAUGCACGUCUUGACGGUACCUAAUCAGAAAGCCACGGCUAACUACGUGCCAGCAGCCGCGGUAAUACGUAGGUGGCAAGCGUUAUCCGGAAUUAUUGGGCGUAAAGCGCGCGUAGGCGGUUUUUUAAGUCUGAUGUGAAAGCCCACGGCUCAACCGUGGAGGGUCAUUGGAAACUGGAAACCUUGAGUGCAGAAGAGGAAAGUGGAAUUCCAUGUGUAGCGGUGAAAUGCGCAGAGAUAUGGAGGAAAACCAGUGGCGAAGGCGAUUUUCUGGUCUGUAACUGACGCUGAUGUGCGAAAGCGUGGGGAUCAAACAGG